rnacentral:lncRNA from 1 species
GCAGAGACACAACCUUGGGGAGGGCAAUAAAAUACCAAAAGAAGAAUUUCAGAAGCUUCUUCAAAAGGUUUUGAUAGGACUAUAGGACUAGGAGCAUGGGUUCAACGGCGUCGGAGGAGUAAAGAGUUUCUAUUCUUCAUCUUCGGAGUUCCUUCCUUUGCCGUCUUCCUCAAGAACCGCAUAGCUCUUACGUCCAUUCCCAAUGAUUUGUUCAUCCCUGCCGUCACCUCAGCUACUGCUUUCCUCCUCGCCAAGCUCAACAAGAUAUGAAUCUAUUUGUUAUAUAUCUUGUAGCUUUGCGUUGUUUUCUAAAAGAAUCUGUACCUGGAUGAUGAUUAUGCGUGUAUCUGAUAUACAUAGAAACAAGGACGAGUGUGAGCUGAAUUUUCAUGUUUUCGAAAACAUGAAAAAUUGAGAAGUUAACUCUGUUUCUGACUGUUGACAAGUUCAAAUUUGAGAAGUUACUUGUAAAUUAAACUUCAUUGUAUUUUAUAAGAAAUAUGUCUUUGCGUGUGAGAGAAGCAAGGAGAGGCUAAAUAUAGAGAAUCUGAGGGCCUUGCUUGUUUCUCUAAUUU